ACCAAUCCCUCGCUAGCCCUACCUCGUCUCUCGUCUCCAGUCGCAGCCGCCGCCGCACCCCAAUCUAACCCCGCCACCCGCGAUCUCCUCGUCCCCCUGCGCCGCCGCCCCCAACCUUCUAUUCCUCUCCCAAGGGAAUCCCAAGAGAAGGGAAAGGAAGGCAAGGGGAGGGAAGGGAAGGGAGAGGGAGCACCCAGAUCCACGGCGGCAUCAGCGCGCCGUCGUCGACCUGAUCCGCGUCCGUCCUCCGAGGGAGGUCCGACAUGGAGGUCCGACCCGGCCCGGCAGCAGCCAUGGACGGACGGAGACGCCCCAAACCCUACCCUCAAGGACAACGCCUCAACCUUCAAGGACGCGCGCCGGCGACCGCGGAUCUCCGUUGACGGCUAUGGAUGACUGCCCCGGAUCUGGACGCACAACCUGCAGCUGCAGCAGCAGCAGGACGACUGAACGCACGAGCCCUCCCUCCCUCCCUCAUGGCUCUGCUUACUCCUACGGUCCUACCCUGCCCCCCUCACGUGGGCGUGGUGAGCUUCCUACCCCCGUGCACAUCUCAUCUCAUCUCAUCAAAUCUAGAUUGCUCUGGACGUAUUUAUUGUUCUGGACACAACUUGGUUCUCUUCAGUAUGAUGUCACUCCUUUCCUGCCGGAGUGAGUCAGUCAAAUGCUCCUACUAGUAGUAUAAGAUGUUUGCUGACUUUGAAAAUGAUAGAUAGUAAAAAAAUGCUAAUGAGGUUGUGCAGCGGCGGACGUAUGACUGCUACCUGCACAAGCGGAUGGCCCUGCGAGCCGGACCAACCUCCAGCUGCUGUGGCGUACCACGGGCAGAUUUAUCCCAACGAGGAAACAAGGAGCCCAAAAAUUAAAUUAAAACAAAUCGAUGCCAACAGCGAUGGGGACCAUGACGCUUGAAGAUAUGGAGGCGACAAAUGUGUGCCGAUCCCUUCUUGGUGAUAACUCUAGCCGAGCCCCUCUUGGUGACAUUCCUAAUCUUGAGCAUCCUUCCCGAAUGACUCCAGUGCCAGUGCCAGAUCCAAGGCAUGGAGAACUCCAAGGAGUUUGCUGACAAGCUGUUCGGGAUAUGUCGAGGCAGAGGAACAUUGAGCCAGAUGAAGGCAUUAACAAGGAUCGGCUCAGAGAGGUGGAACAUGAACAUUGAUGGGAUGCUCACAGAAGAUGAGGUCAAGAUGGUGGCUACACAAAUGAUCACAGAGAAGACUACUGCUGGUGUUGAGGAGUCCGAAGCAAAAGCGGCCCUCAUUGGGCUGCAUGCUCUCAAGGAUAUACAGGGCCCCGUGAUUUUGGAACUGCCAUGGACUGCCAAAUUCGGAUUAAGGAACUGAUGACAGGGAAGCAGUCCCUCUCCCCCUGCUAUGGACUGCUAAGAGACAUCAAGCAAGCACUAACAAACUUCUCGGAUCACAGUAUUAGUAGCGUGGGGAGAUUGUGCAAUGCCCUUGCUGAUGGGCUUGCAGCGUUGGCCAGGAAUUCGGAAGACCAGGAGAGGAUUGCGGACGUACCGGACUGCCUCCGCCCGCUUAUGAUCUCUGAAUUUGUGGUUUCAGCACAGUAGCUUUACUACUCUGAAUCUCAAAAAGAAAAAAGGUUGUGCCUCUCCCUGGCCUCAAAGUUGUCGUCGCCGUCUGCUUCCUCGCCCUCGAAGAGCCUCCAUGAUGCCGGACCCCCGCCACCCCUGCGUCAAGCCACCGACAACUGAAGCCAACAGGACCUCGCGCCCCAGCCCCAUGAGAUGAGCUUCUCCCGUGGUCUUGCUCUCGCGCCGCCGUCGUCCCGCGAGUCACCGACCACCUCGCCGGAGAUGAGCACCGCUGCGGAUCCGGCCGGAACGGGACCGGAUUGGGCACCCGCGCCCGGAUCAACGCGUCCCUGCGUCCGUCGUUGU